UACGUAGGGAGCAAGCGUUGUUCGGAUUUACUGGGCGUAAAGGGCGCGUAGGCGGCUUACUAAGUCAGGGGUGAAAUCCUGGAGCUCAACUCCAGAACUGCCUUUGAUACUGGUGAGCUUGAGUCCGGAAGAGGUGAGUGGAACUGCGAGUGUAGAGGUGAAAUUCGUAGAUAUUCGCAAGAACACCAGUGGCGAAGGCGGCUCACUGGUCCGGUACUGACGCUGAGGUGCGAAAGCGUGGGAGCAACAGG
rnacentral:rRNA from 1 species